AGCUAUUUAAAAAAAACAUGUUGAUCUCUAAAAGAAUAAUAAAUCUAUCCUAUGGGAACUGUACAUGACGGGAUGCAACAUAGCCUAUAUGCUAUUCCAGACUGUACUUAAUCUCAUUCAGAAAAUGUUCUCUGACAUUGCCUACAUGUUUUGAGAGCCUACAAGAUGCUGUAGUGAGUUAUGUACAAACAAUAUUUGUAUAAUAAUAUGAAGGUCAAGGGUUACAAUUCUUCAGCAGUAAUGUGUCCAGCAAAUGAAGAUCUUUAAUAAUUGUUAAUGGUUUUAGAAACUUACAAAGAUGCUGUGCCUUGCGAUUUCUGUUAGAUCUCAGCUCCAUGCACAGUCAAUAUCUAAGGCGAGGUCACUCAUCAAGGAUAUUUAUGUUUCAUCCCUACCUAUAUGUGGUGUAGUUUUGACCAUAUACUCCACAAGCCUUUAAUACAGUAGUUCUCACAACCCUAAGAGAUUCGAGCCUAUAUAUAUUCCAUUUAACCGACUUGCAAAAUGGAGGCGGUUCUCAAUUCAGUUUUAUUAAAAAAUGAACCGACUCUGUUAUACAGAUAAAAAUAAAUAAAUAUCUUCUCCAAAAUUUUUAAGUUUGCCAACUAAAAUGUAGAUACUACUGGUUCUUUUCUUGCUUCUAUACAAAAGUUACCUAUACGAAGUAUAUGAUCUAACAUAGUAACUUUCUACAUUUUACUUGCUUUUUAGUUUUAUAACAAAGUCGGUUCUUCUUUGUUAAAUAAAUUUUCCUUAUCUGUCUUUUUAUGUCAGAAAUCUUUUACUUUUUUUAAUUCUGCCUCAUCCUCUGAUAGGACCUGGCAUUAAAUAAUAUGUAUGCGAAUAUAAAAAUUCAGGCAUGUAGAAAUUAUAUAGUAAACUAUUUUUGUAAUAAAGUUCUUA